GAUCAUGGUAGUUUUAAACCCAAACCGCUAGGCCGUGGCCCUAGCAAUAGAAGACCCCUCUCACAUACCUUCUCCAUGACC
rnacentral:tRNA from 1 species